rnacentral:rRNA from 1 species
AUUGAACGCUGGCGGCGUGCUUAACACAUGCAAGUCGAUCGGUAACGCGGGGGCAACCCUGGCGACGAGAGGCGGACGGGUGAGGAACGCUUGGGAAUCUGCCUAUCAGCGGGGGACAACACGGGGAAACUCGUGCUAAUACCGCAUACGCUCUACGGAGGAAAGCAGGGGACCGCAAGGCCUGGCACUGAUAGAUGAGCCCAAGCCGGAUUAGCUAGUUGGCGGGGUAACGGCCCACCAAGGCGACGACCCGUAGCUGGUCUGAGAGGACGAUCAGCCACACUGGGACUGAGACACGGCCCAGACUCCUACGGGAGGCAGCAGUGGGGAAUAUUGGACAAUGGGGGAAACCCUGAUCCAGCGACGCCGCGUGGGUGAAGAAGGCCUGCGGGUUGUAAAGCCCUUUCGGUAGGGACGAAGGCUCUCGACCUAACACGUCGGGAGGUUGACUUAACCUACAAAAGAAGCACCGGCUAACUCUGUGCCAGCAGCCGCGGUAACAC